rnacentral:rRNA from 1 species
AUACGGAGGGAGCUAGCGUUGUUCGGAAUUACUGGGCGUAAAGCGUACGUAGGCGGAUUGACAAGUUGGGGGUGAAAUCCCAGGGCUUAACCCUGGAACUGCCCUCAAAACUAUCGAUCUAGAGACCGGGAGAGGUAAGCGGAAUUCCUAGUGUAGAGGUGAAAUUCGUAGAUAUUGGGAAGAACACCAGUGGCGAAGGCGGCUUACUGGACCGGUACUGACGCUAAGGUACGAAAGCGUGGGGAGCAAACAGGAUUAGAAACCCCGGUAGUCC